GCCUCUGUGAUGUAGCGGUAACAUGCCAGUCUUCCAAACUGGUCUCGCCGGUUCGAUCCCGGCUAGGGGCUC
rnacentral:tRNA from 7 species